GCUUCCUUCUUAGCCAAUCGGGAAUCCAUAGUGCUUAGAGCGACGUUGGGAGAACCACUCGACGACCGCGUUGCUCUGUUUCUCCUGCCAAUCGCGGAAUGCCAGAGCAGGGUGGCAUCGAGUAACCAAUCAGUGAUGGGAGGCGGGUCGGCUUAUGCUUCCCUAUCCGCCGUAAGACCAGCCCUACUAAUUUUCGCGCGCUCCUCGGGUCAUGAGGUGCCUUGAAGUGCAGGGGGCGGGACUAAACUCAAUUUCCACGGACACUUGGCUUCUCUGAUUCUGAAAUUUGCUUAUAAGUCCUGUUCACUAUUACGUACUUGGAAGCAAGCCCCACUGAAGUUAAUGGAACUAACUUUUGAGUAAAAAAAACACAGACUCAGAUGCGCAAGUGAAAAGCUGAAGUAACAGCAUAACCAAAAUAUGUGAGAUGGGCUGUAACUAUUAGCAAACGCUCCCACUAUCAUUGCUGUAAUUGCCUUCCCUGCACUUUAAGGCAAGCCAUCUUAUUUAUUUAUUUAUUGGGGCACAGAGGGCUAAAUGGUCACCAAGGUGAGGUAGCAGCAGCAUUAAUGUUUGCUGCUAUCACAGCCAAAUAUUAGACCUUCAAUGGGUCUCUAAGGUGUUUGGUCAAAUUAAUUUUGAAUUUCUGCCUUCCCUGCUUUUUCAUCACACAAAGCUUUCCAUUAAAUGACAGGAAAGCCCAGCUCAACAAGGGCAGAAGGAUUCUAGGGAGUGAAACUGCCAAGGGCCCUGAAUUGGCUGAUCUCGUGAUCAACAAGGCUACUGGCAAAACUAGCAAAACUCCUAGAGUCCACAAAGAUGCCCAGAUCUCCAGGGACCACUUUGAAGAGUUCCUCACGCUCACAGACUGAGGUUGUGGGCCUCCAAGACCUAUGACCAGACAAGAUCUGAGUAAAUAAAGAAACUGCACAGAG